GGAAUUGUGGCUCAUUGGUAGAAUGCUCGCCUAGCACGUGGGAGGCCCUGGGUUCCAUCCUCAGCACCA
rnacentral:tRNA from 1 species